rnacentral:misc_RNA from 1 species
UCUUUUUUUUUUUUUCUUUUUUUAUUGUUGAGUAAUAAAAAAUUGCAGAUGGUAAGAUCCUUCAUUUUUACUUGUGAUACUCAGAAACCAAAUUGAACCCAGAAAAUGAAAUAGAAAAAUAUAACUGGAAAACAAUAAAAGAAUGAAAAUUAAAGAUAUAAAAAAAAUUUUUUUUUCUCACUAAAAACUCAAAACCUCUAAUCAAACUUUCGACAUACAAAGUCAAACCAACACUGUAACACAAGGAGAAACAUGUGAAACACAAGGAAACAAAAGAGUUCCAAAGAAAAUGCACAUAAAUAGAUACAGAUUCUCAAAAUUCCAACUUUUUUCCAUAUCAGUUUUGAAAUCAAUAAAAACAAAGAAAAAAAAUAAUCAAUAAAUCUACAUGAACAGAAAAACCACAAGUAUCACAUCAAAUUAAACAAACAGAAACUGCAAAAACCAUGUAAAGAGAAGACGAGAAGUAGGGAACAGACUCAUCCUCAAACAUGAGGCGUCUCUGGACAGCAUCCAUGCCAGUAUCAGGAGCAUCACCCAUGGUGGAAGUAGAGGUGGUUGCAGGUGGAGGAGACGAAAAUACCCUGGAGAAGGAAGA